rnacentral:tRNA from 1 species
GCGCCAGUAGCUCAGUUGGAAAGAGCGCCGCCCUCCGAAGGCGGAGGUCGCAGGUUCAAAUCCUGCCUGACGCACCA